rnacentral:lncRNA from 1 species
UGCAGACCCUGCAAGCACAGAGCUUUGAUCUGUUUGCAUAAACACAGCUUCAUCAAUAAGAGCAUAUGAUUUUUUUUCCCCACAUAUUGGGAUGUCAGGAUGGAGAGAGUCCAUGGAAAGUCCAAGAAAAGGAUGACUGGCACGGUCUACCCAGUACUGCACUGCUCCCUCCAGAUGCCACAGAAACGCUCCUGAAAUAGAGCUGUGCCAGGGUCAUGGCUCUGACUGAAACUGAUUCCUCUUCAAUUUUGGGUUGCGAGAAGUAUGUGCAAUAUUCAAAGAGUUUUCAAAAUAGGAACUUGCAAAUGAACUCUGAAUGGCUCCUAAACACCAUGGACCUCUCUUCUGGUCUCCAUUAACCUUGAUGUAAAUCAGGAGAAACUUCACAGAAGUAAACACAGUCAUUCUGCUUUAGGUACCACUUGGGAUCCAAAUCUCACCCAGUCUGUAACUGUGGGUCGGCUAAGACACAAUAGCAUAAGCAAAAGAUGUGCAACUGAAUCACCUUUGUAUGCCUGUUGAAUAGUCAUGAACUGAUUAUCACUUUGUAGAAAUUAUUGAAUAUCAAAU